ACAUCCAGAGAACUUAGCAGAGAUGCUUUGGUGGCCUUCGGGAACUCUGAGACAGGUGCUGCAUGGCUGUCGUCAGCUCGUGUUGUGAAAUGUUGGGUUAAGUCCCGCAACGAGCGCAACCCUUUAUCCUUUGUUGCCAGCGGUUCGGCCGGGAACUCAAAGGAGACUGCCGGUGAUAAACCGGAGGAAGGUGGGGAUGACGUCAAGUCAUCAUGGCCCUUACGGCCAGGGCUACACACGUGCUACAAUGGCGCAUACAAAGAGAAGCGACCUCGCGAGAGCAAGCGGACCUCAUAAAGUGCGUCGUAGUCCGGAUUGGAGUCUGCAACUCGACUCCAUGAAGUCGGAAUCGCUAGUAAUCGUAGAUCAGAAUGCUACGGUGAAUACGUUCCCGGGCCUUGUACACACCGCCCGUCACACCAUGGGAGUGGGUUGCAAAAGAAGUAGGUAGCUUAACCUUCGGGAGGGCGCUUACCACUUUGUGAUUCAUGACUGGGGUGAAGUCGUAACAAGGUAAGCGUAGCGAG
rnacentral:rRNA from 1 species